GGUUUUGGAUACUUCGGCCAAAGCUCGAAAACUUCAGAAGAUAAGCAGUAAAUUGGGUGUCUGUGCUCUGUUUACUGUCGAAAAUCAAACGCAGAAUAAGCAUGUAGAAAUCUUAUGUGUUGCUUGUUUGGACGAGGGUUCGAAUCCCUCCAACUCCACUU
rnacentral:tmRNA from 2 species